rnacentral:ncRNA from 1 species
UAAUAGGCAAAUCUGCCGAAAGGCAGUGACGCAAAGCCAAGGGUCUAAGCUUUAAGAGUAUGACAGCCGGUUGCCG